UACAGAGACUGCAAGCGUUAUUCGGAUUCACUGGGCGUAAAGGGUGCGCAGGCGGCCAAGUGUGUGAGGCGUGAAAGCCUGGGGCUUAACCCCAGAAUUGCACCUCAAACUAUUUGGCUAGAGCAUUGGAGAGGGUAGCAGAAUUCAUGGUGUAGCAGUGAAAUGCGUAGAUAUCAUGAGGAAUACCAGAGGCGAAGGCGGCUACCUGGACAAUUGCUGACGCUCAGGCACGAAAGCGUGGGGAGCAAAAGGG
rnacentral:rRNA from 1 species